rnacentral:rRNA from 1 species
UACUCGACGACGGACCGCCUUCGGGGGCGUUCGUCCCCUAAAGACGGAGAGUUGAGAGAGAGAGAGAGAGAGAGUCGUUCAUUUGAGCAUAAGUUUGGACUCCCGGCGUCCGAGCGAGGCCUCAGCCCUAGCCCCUACCCCCCGACGAAGAGGCCGCUGCACGCGCCGCCGUGCCUCCGGUAGCCGCCCCCGCGCUCGCCCCGCCGCCGCCCCGUCCCGGUCCCGCCCGGGUUGCUCCGCGAGCUGGUGAAGGAGGUCCCGGUGCCCGACGCGCCGGAGAUGUGGGGAGAGCUCGAUAGAAAAAGUCGAAGGUUCAACUCUCUAUACCUACGAGAAAGAUUCUCACUAGGAUACAACCACCAAAUGUGUUUUUACCUACCUUCCGAUCUUCUCUAACCGGCGUGACUUCACUAUAACUUAAGUGACUUUGGUAACACCUAGUGUUUUUGAUACUAUUUAAUGGUUAAACUCUAACACGUUGGGGAGCAUAAGUCCUAUAUACUGUAACUGUGUUUCAUGGUAUUGUGUGGUCACUUCUACAACUUGAACCGAGUCGUUCUAAAAGAUCCCCUUCGUAAGACGUUAAAUAGGCUCUAUCAGUGUUUCAAGUUGGUAUCGGAUUGAAACUUGGAAGCUUUACCAAGACCUGUACGGGAAGUCCCGUGUUACUAUCAUGUGCGACUUCUUUGACGAAGUAGUUCCUACCGUCAACUCUACUGUAAGGUGACGGACUUGGAACUAUUGUUCCUGUGGAAGAGGUUUUCACUAGGGAAGAACUCUCAUAGUUCUGACAGUCUUUCACGACAACGGUAAGGAUAUACAUUUUGUCUUCACUAGUUAUUGUUGAAUUUGGGACAAACCUCCGGAUAUUGUGACUGUAGUGUUGUUAUGUCAUCGUCCCUACUGGGUGACGAUCAACUCACAAAACUAAAACUACGGUCACCGCUGGUACUUGAAUACCCCCGAGAGGUCUGUUGAUAGCGAGUCGAACUUUUAGAUAUAUUCAGUUUCCGACCUCGUUUAAAAAUGUCGGCAUUCCCUGUUUUCUUCAACUUUCCUGUCAACAAGAACCUAUGCAAGGUCCUUUUUCAAGUUGUAUGAAAGAACCUGAUAUAAAGGUCGCCCAAACUCGAGUUAAAAUACCAUCGACAUCUAAAAUGACGUAGUUUACCGCUGGGAGCAUGUGGUGUUAGAAACGUGAUGUAACUGGGGAGACCGUCUGAUUUGAGUAUGGUCGUCCGUUAAGAUCCCCAUUCGCUUCAAGACGUCAAAAUACUGUUUCUAUCUGCUAAAGGACGUACCCCAAAACCACGUUCCUGUGGUGUUCCUAGACAUAGGGUGACAAAGUUGAACUUACGUUCAUGGUUACUGACACUCCAACAACCUAAACUUCCGUAGUACAGUCGUAUGAGAAGAUGAGACAUGUCACAAAGAGACAGUCCCGGUUGGAACAAACCCGGGCACUAGUUGUUUCGACGUCUUUAACGGUCGGUAAGACGCGUUAUGCCCUUGUUGUCUAUAAAACAGGACGAGUAAUAGUGCCUACCUCAAUAGUGGCUGCUCGUUCUUUGUUUCCUAAGAUAACAUUCCCGUAGUCUAAACGGCAACAGCUAAGAGUAGCACCCUCAGCCCCCACGACUGAAGUGAGUUUACUCCUGAGACCUACGCCUGAACCCAUUCGCGGAAGUUUCGAGCUGUCCGUCCCACCGCUGCGCACUGUAGCAGGUCAAACAGGGGUACUCCCUUCAGGUUCCACCCGUCCAGUGGCAACAGGUCUCGGACGACCUCCUCGACGGACCCGUCAAGGACCUUAUGUACGCGUGGGCCCCGUAGUACGGCGCUGGUGGGGUCGUGCGGAGCCGCGGCGGUCGCAUGGGGGGAGGGGGAGGGGUCGACACUUCCUUGGGGCGGCCUGGACGGUGGGGUGUGCUCGACCAGACGCGCAUGUAUGGUCGACCGUUAACAUCUAAGAUGGCAGAGAGACAGACUGAUUGAGGACAGCGCAGACGUGAGAUGUAGGUUGUAAUCCAUGACUUGGGGCAACCAGCUAUUGAAAAGGUGGGUCCAUAUCCUGCAGCGACGUUUGUGAUGCAUACUUUUUACACUAUGGAGCACAAAAAAAGAAAAAACGUGACUUGACGACGAUAUAUAGUAUACAACCAGUGAAACAGUGGCUGUUCCUCAAUAGAGGAUCCGCUGGGUAGAACAGUAACACAUGUAAAUGAACUCCAAAACAAAUAGCAAUAGCAGGUACAGUACGUUAAGAACCCCGCCGAUAGCCCCCAACGGACAACGACCUCUGCCACCUCUUUUAAACGCCUACCGAACC